AUUGAACGCUGGCGGCAGGCUUAACACAUGCAAGUCGAGCGAGCGGCGGACGGGUGAGUAAUGUCUGGGAAACUGCCUGAUGGAGGGGGAUAACUACUGGAAACGGUAGCUAAUACCGCAUACCAUCAGAUGUGCCCAGAUGGGGUUAGCUAGUAGGUGGGGUAAUGGCUCACCUAGGCGACGAUCCCUAGCUAGUCUGGGAGGCUGACCAGCCACAUUGCAACGAGGACACGUUCCAGACUCUUACGGGAGGCAGCAGUGGGGAGUAUUGCACAAUGGGCGCAAGCCUGAGGCAGCCAUGCCGCGUGUGUGAAGAAGGCCUUCGGGUUGUAAAGUACUUUCAGUCGGGAGGCGUUAACGACAGAAGAAGCACCGGCUAACUCCGUGCCAGCAGCCGCGGUAAUAC
rnacentral:rRNA from 1 species